UUUUCUAAACUUUUCUCAAGUAUAAAGUACAGAUUAUGCAUUUAUAUACUUGAUAAUUAGUCAGUAGAAGAAAAUGUAUAUUCUCUUUGAGUAAAAAAAGUAAUGAAUUCUUUAUUCUGGGAGAAAAACAAAAAAGUAUAUCUUUUAAAUAACAAAGAAAAACAAAUUUUCAACCAUGGAGAAUCCAAAGGCCAAAGAGGAUCGGCUCCGAGUCCGUUUACCAGACAGAUAGUUACGAAAAGUCAGAGAGAGAGCAAGCGGGCGAGCGAGCCAAGAGAAAAGCUAUCAAGAUCAUAUAUAUAUGUAUACACACAGUUAUAUACAAGAUAUAUACAAUAAUAAUUAGAGAGAGAGAGAGAGAGAG
rnacentral:lncRNA from 1 species